rnacentral:tRNA from 1 species
CCUGGUGGCUCAGCUGGUAAAGAACCUGCCUGCAAUGCAGGAGACCCUGGUUUGAUUCCUGGGUCAGGA